UCUUCUCCUCUCUCUCCCCUAUGCUUCUUCUCAGGCCUCUCUCAACGACUCCCACGAAUGGCCCGCCGCUCGAUUCGACGACAGGUGCGAUGAGGCCGUCUAUUGGGCGGUUUGUGACCAAUCGCUCUCCCUUCCCUACUCCGAGAUUUGCCGGGCGUCUCGGCCGCCUGUGGGAUGAGCCCGUCGACCUGUCGAUUGGGCGGUUCCUCCUGGGGCUAAACCUAGCCUAUUUUUCAUGAUUUCGGCUGGCUGAUUACAGAUCUGGUGAGAUCUCCUUAACUCUCUCUCUCUUCUUCGUCUACCUCGAGACCUCGCUCGAUUGCUCAGCCGGUCGCCUCGGCUGCCCAUUGGUCGGUUCCUCCUGGGGCUAAACUUAGCCUAUGUUCUCAUGAUUUGGGUUGGUUCUUGAAAGAUCUGGUGAGACCUCUCUCGAUUGCUCCGCCGGUCGCCUCGGACGCGUGUCGGAUGAGCCCGUGGAUUGGCCGGUUGCUCCUCCGUCUAAACCUACCCUAUUUUGGCAUGAUUUUACAGAUCUGCUCAGAUCUGGUGAGAUCUCCUUAACUCUCUCUCUCUUCUUCUCUCUAAAUCGAGACCUCUCUCGAUUGGUCCGCCGGUCGGCUCGGACGCGUGUCGGAUGAGCCCGCCGAUUGGCCGGUUGCUCCUCUGUCUAAACCUAGCCUAUGUUUUUUCAUGAUUUGGGUGAUCUCUUGAGAUUUACAGGAGAUUUUUACACUAUUCCUAUGAUUUUUACAUAUUUUUUAACCAUUUUUUUAGAAAUCUGUUAGAGUUCCCAAAGAUUUAAACAAUAUUUUUGACUAUUUUGUCCCUGUGCUUAGCCCUCUUGCCUCUUGGCUUCCCUGUUUCAUUCUGUGAUAUUCGAAAAGUUCUCUCAGAUUUAUUAUAAAUACCACCCUUCAUUAAUUGCCGCAUGCCAGUGUCCUCCUCAUACCAAGAUAGGUCUCUGCAUUGUUCUCCUGUUUACUGCUUAAUCACAAAAGGUGGAUCUUCUCUGGUCCCUCCUGCUGUACUUUCUAUUUCCCUGCAGUUAAAAGGUUGGCAGAGGAAAAUUAAAGUUAGACGAAAAUUCGCCAAAUGAAGAUUGCUGAUUUGCUAACUGCUUACAUUUAGUAUGUGUUGGUUUGUUUGAAGCUCUAUGCUUCAAACUAUCAUUGUAGUUUAAAAUUUUGAAAACUUAUUUCAGCUUUGUAUUUUGGUUUAAAACUAUGUUGCUCUCUUAAUUUCGACUUUGUAUUUUGAUUUAGAACAUGUGCUGGUUUGUUUGAAGAUGCAUUUUAGAUGUCAUACUUUGUAUUUGGUUUAAAACUAUGUUGCUUUCUUAAUUUCGACUUUGUAUUUUGAUUUAGAACUAUGUUCUGGUUUGUUUGAAGAUGCAUUUUAGAUGUCAUAUAUUCUGCUAUGUACUUGAUUGUGUUAUAAUAUUUUUAUAAUAAUACUAUUCAAACAGUAAUUACAUUAUUUGUAUCAUGAAUUAAACGAUUAUUUAAAAUAUUUAGAUUUAUUUAAAUAAGGAUAAAGUGCGCCUUUUGCGAGACUUCUCUCUAUCUCUCUCUUCUCCUCUCCCUCUUCUCUCUCUUUUCUCUCUCCCCUGUACGCCUCUCUCCACGCCCUCUACUGCCCCUCUCUCUCCUCCCUCUUUUCCCUACGCCUCUUCUCAGAUCAUUCUUUUGCUCACAUGUUAUUUGAAAAUUUUUUGGUAUUUUUUGUUCCUUUUAUGUCUUUACUAUUUUGGUUUUUUAAAAAAAACUGCUUCUAAUGACCUGCCUUUCUACAUUCCCUUCCAUUUUUUUCACUUUCUCUCUUUUGCAGCUUCGUCUAUGUCGACCGUCCAACUUUCUUACCUUACAUUGUUGCGUGAGGUUUGUGAUCAGCUCCAGAUAGAGACACCACAGUGUGUUGUCACUCCGGCUGCAGAGGGUACUUACCUUGCGUAUAUAGAUCUUCCGGUUCCACGAAAUGAAUCUAUAGUUGAAAUAGUACGAUGUUGGGGGACACAAUCCUCCACAUCUGCUGCAUCUCAACAAGAUGCUGCUCGCCUAACUAUUAAGAGGAUAGUUGAGGAAUUUGACUUGCAACUGAAGGAUAUAAAUUAUGAUGAAAGUAUCUUCCAUCAAAAUCUAUACAAUGAACUUUCCACAAACCAUGCUGUGCUAUUUGCACGCUACAACAACUUGCUUAAGGAGUAUAACUUUCUGAAGUUAAAGAAUGCCAUGGCAGAAACUGAUGCUCCCGUCGGUUAAUUUGGGUCUGAAGUAAAAGUGGCAUAUUUUGCUGGUACUUAUUUUGUAGUUGAUCAUGCAUGGCCAGACUUUUGUAUGAUCUUUUUAGUCUACUUUUGAAAACUAUGCAUUCCAUUGUGUUUGUGGCUUUUAGAUUCUGUUAUGUUUCCAAACUCCAGCUUCUAACUUUUGAGAAUUAUCAUGCUUCUGUUAUGUUUCUAUAUUCUGUUAUGUUUCUAAUCUCCUACUUCUAUCUUUUGUAUG